CCAUGAGCUUUACACCAAACAAACAGCACAAAAAAAUUAAAUAAAAUGAGUAGCAAACUCAUUUUUAUUUUUAGUUGCAUCUUUUUUCAAUUGUCACUGCACAAGUGUUUUUCUAAUGCUUCACGCCUCCGCCUCACUCAUGCCUUCAGAUCCAUUUGCCAUUCGUUGUUGGCUAUUUAAAGGGACAGCCAGCUGGUGCAAACAAUUGCAUUGUCCGCAAGUCUGUUGCCAUGAACACAUCAGCUGCUAAUUUUCUGGCAUAUGUCGAGCAUCUCAUGGCCAUGGAACGUUCAGAAAGUGGACAAACUGCACUUGGCUCAAUUCGCAUCUGGUUUAACAAUAUUAGUGGGCUGACUCAGUGCGGCAAUUCAACUAAACAGUUGUGCUCGGCCAAUCAGACGGACACUCAGCAAGACAAGAAUUUCCAUUAUGGAUGGAAUUAUUUGCUGCAAAAGUUAACAAGUUAAGGCAAAAAUGUUAGCUCUAAAAUUACAAUAUUUAAAUGUGUUUCUAUAGCUUUUGCUUUUAAAAAAUUCUAUUAUUAAGCAUGACAUUUUCUUGAUAAAAUUAUUUACUUUAUUUUGCAUCCUGAUUUACAUUCUAAUUUAUAAUGAUUUGCUGUUAAACUUAGUAGCGAUUUUGCGGUAAUUUUGUGGCAAAGUGAUAGAUGAGAUCACCCAAAAAUGUUAGCAUUAAAAGUUCAUUAUUUAAAUUUGAAUUUGAUGGAUAACAAUAAUAAUAUUUAGUACUCAUUAAAUUAAUAAAACA